UGAUCCUGGCUCAGAUUGAACGCUGGCGGCAGGCCUAACACAUGCAAGUCGAACGGCAGCACAGAAGAGCUUGCUCUUUGGGUGGCGAGUGGCGGACGGGUGAGUAAUGUCUGGGAAACUGCCCGAUGGAGGGGGAUAACUACUGGAAACGGUAGCUAAUACCGCAUAACGUCGCAAGACCAAAGUGGGGGACCCUCGGGCCUCACACCAUCGGAUGUGCCCAGAUGGGAUUAGCUAGUAGGUGGGGUAAUGGCUCACCUAGGCGACGAUCCCUAGCUGGUCUGAGAGGAUGACCAGCCACACUGGAACUGAGACACGGUCCAGACUCCUACGGGAGGCAGCAGUGGGGAAUAUUGCACAAUGGGCGCAAGCCUGAUGCAGCCAUGCCGCGUGUAUGAAGAAGGCCUUCGGGUUGUAAAGUACUUUCAGCGGGGAGGAAGGCGGUGAGGUUAAUAACCUCGCCGAUUGACGUUACCCGCAGAAGAAGCACCGGCUAACUCCGUGCCAGCAGCCGCGGUAAUACGGAGGGUGCAAGCGUUAAUCGGAAUUACUGGGCGUAAAGCGCACGCAGGCGGUCUGUUAAGUCAGAUGUGAAAUCCCCGGGCUUAACCUGGGAACUGCAUUUGAAACUGGCAGGCUUGAGUCUCGUAGAGGGGGGUAGAAUUCCAGGUGUAGCGGUGAAAUGCGUAGAGAUCUGGAGGAAUACCGGUGGCGAAGGCGGCCCCCUGGACGAAGACUGACGCUCAGGUGCGAAAGCGUGGGGAGCAAGCAGGAUUAGAUACCCUGGUAGUCCACGCCGUAAACGAUGUCGACUUGGAGGUUGUGCCCUUGAGGCGUGGCUUCCGGAGCUAACGCGUUAAGUCGACCGCCUGGGGAGUACGGCCGCAAGGUUAAAACUCAAAUGAAUUGACGGGGGCCCGCACAAGCGGUGGAGCAUGUGGUUUAAUUCGAUGCAACGCGAAGAACCUUACCUGGCCUUGACAUCCAGAGAACUUAGCAGAGAUGCUUUGGUGCCUUCGGGAACUCUGAGACAGGUGCUGCAUGGCUGUCGUCAGCUCGUGUUGUGAAAUGUUGGGUUAAGUCCCGCAACGAGCGCAACCCUUAUCCUUUGUUGCCAGCGGUUCGGCCGGGAACUCAAAGGAGACUGCCGGUGAUAAACCGGAGGAAGGUGGGGAUGACGUCAAGUCAUCAUGGCCCUUACGGCCAGGGCUACACACGUGCUACAAUGGCGCAUACAAAGAGAAGCGACCUCGCGAGAGCAAGCGGACCUCAUAAAGUGCGUCGUAGUCCGGAUUGGAGUCUGCAACUCGACUCCAUGAAGUCGGAAUCGCUAGUAAUCGUAGAUCAGAAUGCUACGGUGAAUACGUUCCCGGGCCUUGUACACACCGC
rnacentral:rRNA from 1 species